rnacentral:rRNA from 1 species
UACGUAGGUGGCAAGCGUUGUCCGGAAUUAUUGGGCGUAAAGCGCGCGCAGGCGGUUCUUAAGUCUGAUGUGAAAGCCCACGGCUCAACCGUGGAGGGUCAUUGGAAACUGGAGAACUUGAGUACAGAAGAGGAAAGUGGAAUUCCACGUGUAGCGGUGAAAUGCGUAGAGAUGUGGAGGAACACCAGUGGCGAAGGCGACUUCUGGUCUGCAACUGACGCUGAGGUGCGAAAGCUAGGGGAGCAAACGGG